CCGCCAGGUCCCGGGAGGGGGGCUCCCGGCGGGGCUCGGCGAGCAGCAGGUGCGGGGGGGCCGGGCCCCAGGUCCGCGUUGCUCGGGUCUGCGCCGCGGAGGGCGCGGUGGGCCCCCCAGAGGGCAGGGCGCGGCUUGGGGGAGGAACCGGGGCGGGACCCCGGCUGGCCCGGCCCGCGCCCCCAGCGCUCGGCCGCGGGGGUGGAGCCGCGCGGGGGCCCAGCGCGUCCCGGCUCCGUCCUCCCGGGGCCCGCCCGGUGGCUCCGCACGGGGGGCGGCCGGUCAGGCGCCGCUGCCCCUCCGCGCCCCGCUUCACGGCGCCCACCUGGAGAGCAGGGCAGGAUGUGCCUGUUUCUCCGUGUCUGGCCGCAGCUCCUCUUCGCAGCACAUCAGGGGACACAUCAGGGGACCCAUCAGGGGACGGGAACUUUGCCUUCCUCAUCUUCUCCAGGGCCUGAGAGGCUAAGAAAGUUGACAAAUUGGUAGUGACCUCUGGUGGGGGUGGGGGGGCAGGGGGGUGGAUCUGAUUUGACUUGACGUGCCCUACAGGAAACCUUUGAGCUCCGAAAACAGGGUUGGCCUUCUGGAGUCAGAGUUCUUGGUUUCUGAUAAGGGGAAAACAAUGUCAGAGCCAAGGGUCACUCUGCGAGAAUCAGCAUUUCCGUUUGAACGAUCCCUAGAAGAAGCAGGAGCUAAAGAAAGAGUCACCCUGCUUGCUAACAGGUCGUCCCCACCUGUCUGAGGGCACACAGCUAGUGGCACUGCCCGCCAGAGCAGUUUCCCUUGUUCCUAAGUGGAGAUUCCUGUUGCUAAUAUGGAAAGGAAAGGUCACAGGGUUGCUCGUGUGACUGUUGCAAUUUAAGCAGCUCUUUGUAAAUAAGCGAUUCCCAGCCAUUGUAAAGGAGAGCAGGACUAAGGCCUGCGUGUCACGUUGUAUCUGUUCUAAAAAGAUAAAAUAAGGUAAGCGGGACAAAGCCACCAAGGCCUCCGAUUGGUUUUUCUUUUUCUUUUUUUUUCUUGUAUUUUUAAAAUUUUGUUCGAUUUGCCAACAUAUAGUUUAACACCCAGUGCUCAUCCCGUCAAGUGCCCCCCCCCCAGUGAGAUUGAUUUUUCAUUUUAAUUGAAAGGAGUUGUGGGGCACCCCGGGGGGACUCAGAGGCUGAGCCUCUGCCUCCGGCCCAGGCCCAGGGGUCCUGAGAUGCAGGCCCUUGAUCCCGGGGUCCUGGGAUCGAGUCCUGCAUCCGCUCCUCACAGGGAGCCUUCUUCUCCUUUUACCUGUGUCUCUGCCCCUCUCUCUGCGUCUCUCACGAAUACAUAAAUUAAAAAAAAUUUUUUUUAAGAGUCUGAUUAAAAGGAGUUGAGAGGUGACUCAUUUACAAAGUUGAGAAGUAAAACUAAGCCUCCUUAAUUGUGCUGUUGUAUAUGCUGAACUACAAAUCUUUAUAAAAUAACACUGAUAGUGAUGAUAAAGCUAAAUUUUAUUGAAUAUUGU
rnacentral:lncRNA from 1 species